ACUCGAAGCAUUUCCCAUCGCAUACUUUAACCUAAUUAUUUUGGACAGGUGUCUAAUCUUUACUUGCUGAGCCCUCGUGCUGGAAAGGCCUCUUCAAACUUCACCCUUGACCCCUUGCCCCUCUCCCCCUCCUCCCCCAUAUUGCAAACAUUGUAGUACCGUGUCCCAUUGUAGUAUCCGUGUUCAUGACUUACUACUAGGGAUGGGUGCCCACCAGGAGCUUCCAAACCCCUCAUCGCCGCUUAAUCGCUCUCCCCAAAAAAUUUCCCCGCAGGCGGAGGAGGAUGCAGCACUCAUCUGGCCUUUCCUGGACCGCAUGUCAUCGCUGUCGCCAGAUGCAACGGGCACUGACCUCGACGAUGCAGCCUGCUGGCGGAGCAUCACGGAGACUGCUGCGGAACUGGUUUCUCCAAGCGUGGGGAAGGUAUGAGAGCUGCGGCAGCAGCGGCCAAUCGUACAUCCGUAGAUCCGCAGCCGGGCCCUAAAUGACGUUUGGACGGAUUGAGACCUAUCGGGCGAGGCGCUGAGGCGGAAAGAUCUUGAACGGACGGACCGCGUGUUUGGGACCAGAGCUGGCACCUGGGUUGGUGCCACAAUCUGUGAGCCCUUCUCCCCUUACACCGUCCUCCAGUCCCUCUCUCUCCCUCUCUUCCUGGGGAGCUAUGCAGCCACGGACCGCAGCCAAAGGGACUGCUAACUGCUGUCACGGAUCGGACUCUUUUCUGUUUGGGCACAGGUAGGUAUGCAGCCCAUACCGUACAGGAGGCGCCGCCUGUCUCGGAACUGCUACCGCAGCCUCAGCUACUCUUACCUCUUUACAGCCCACCUUCUCCCCGGUCAUCUUCGGAGUCAUCAGCAGCUGCUAUGUGGGGCUUACUCCUGCAACUGCCCUUCCUUCCCUUCUCCCAUCCCACCCUACCCCAUACAUGCCUCACGGCCUCAACGCCCUGACCCAUCUCUUCUGGGUUUGUUUAUCGGGCUCUUGAAUCCCUCCCCUCUGGUACACGAAUCGCGGCUAUGUGACCAUCUGGGUUGCAUAGCCAUCGAGGUCGCACAUCAGCUGAUCCCUGUGCCGCCUUUCCACAUCCCAUCUCGUUUACCUUGCGCUGAGCACUACCCUCAGUACCCCACCACCGUCAGUUCGGCUUUUAUGAUCGUGUUGAUUAACGUUCGGGUUCACUUCUGUCUACAAGGUAACCAUCACCACCACCACCGGUACUGUUAUUGCAACUGCUGCUCCUACUGCCGCAGCUCAUUCCGCUGACGUUGGGUUCCCGGCAAUACGGCGCCAAGCUGCAGAUGGUACGGCAGCUGGCGGAGCAGUUUCAUCCCCAUGAGGUGCGUGCUGUGAUGUGAUGUGGGGGAGGUGCUCGGGGGGUGGGGUGGGAGGUGGUGUGGAAAGAGGAAAUGGGUUGCGGCCAGGGAGAAAAAGGAGGAUUGUGCACGCACCUACAAAUGCUUGGCUUGGGGAUUGGGGUGGGGAUGGGGAUGGGCGGGGCAUAUGUCGGCAUGGAGGCGUAUCCACCUCUCGGCUCAACUGUGCCUCCGCUCACUUCCGGCUGCACUCCGCGCCCGGAUCCCCUCCUGGAGAGGACUCCGUAGUAGUGGCCUCGGAGCGUACCUCCCACUUCGUUAUGGGCUGCGCCCCAAUGAUGCCUUCCCUCCGUCUGCUCGGUUGAUCAUAUGUAUAUGUUGAUUGUUUGUUCUUGCGAAGGAAUGGAUUUCCUUCAGGGUUACCCACUAGCACACCACGCGCACACACAUACACUUCAAGCACCAUCCUCGUCAGUUCUUGCCCGCAGUUCGCCCGCCAUCGUUAAAGACACACACACACACACACUGCCCCUCCUCCUGGUAUUUUCUUUCGUCGAUCGUCAGUGCUUCGUCGCACCCUCCUCCUUCCGCCACCAGGUGUCAACCGCAACCGCCUCUUGCUGCUUCGUAGCUCUGGAGGGGCAGGUAGCCACCACACCACAGCAGCUUGCGGACCUCCUCACAUCAUCAUCAUCAUCACCAUCAUCAUCGUUGUCAACGUCAUCGUCAUCGACAAACCCGGAUUCGGAGCAGCUGUUCUCAUUCGAGCACAUCUACCGUGGGAAGGCCACCGGCAGCCUUGGCGGCGCGGAGACGUCCCGUGUGGCUAUCCUGUACGGCUCUCCUGGACUGCCGUGCUUUGGGCCGCUGUACGAGCAGCUCAAGACGGCGGUGGACGAGCAAUCUGUAGGAGAUGGCAGCGGUGGCGGCAAUGGUCUUAUGUUCGCAUUCCGGCCGCUGCUGACCACCACCUGCGAGGUGAGGGUGUGUUACGUGUGUUGCUCUUAUUGUUGGUGGUGGUGGUGGUGCUAGUGGUGGUGGUGGUGGUGGUGGUGAUGGAGGAGGCCGCAUGACUGCUGAAAGGUGGCUCCAUGGCGGACUGACCCACGGUUCAUCGCAGAAGCAGUGGGAGGGGUAAAAACUAGGUAGGGAAAAUGCAAAGUCAGGGUGAUGGAUGUAUUGAGUUGGCCAGAGAAGCAAAGGCCAAGCGAGCCAAGAGAGCAAUGCAGGUAUGCAGGACCUGUGUGGGGGUGGAGAGAGGCUUACACAGCUCCCAUCUCGCGGCACUCGCUCCUCCUUGGCCCGCUGAUCUUAAUCGCGCUUACGGGAACUACACAGACACGCAUACAUAUGCACAUGCACAUACACACAUAGCUUUUUCCCGAGCCAAGCCAACGUAUAGCGCUUCUCAGGCUUGCCACCGACCCCUGCGGUUGCUGUCCUGAACAAACUUACGUGUAGUUUACCCAACUGCGGCUCUCUUUCUUGCACUAACCUGACCCCGUCCUGCACACACCCGCCCGGGCUUAACCCUCCCUCGCAGCCGCUCUCUGGAUGUGCUCGCGCCGGCACGGGUGGCCAGUUGCUGCUGCCGGGGUGGGGUGUGGAGGCGGCGCUGAAGAACACGGAGUACAGCGCCAUGGACGACAAGGAGGUAGCCCGGCAGCGGCAGCAGCAGCAGCAGCAGGGUAAGAGGGUUUCAUAUGCGACGAGACACAAAGGGCAAGAAAAGAGAGUAAUAAGGGAGGCGAUGUCCAGGACAGGGAGCAACGCAAUGGCUGGCGGUUUCUUUUGCUCCUCCAGCACUUUCCUGGGGGUAUUUUUUUCUGUUUCCUCUGUGAACGAAUCGACGUCAUGGAAUGUUAGGAAUUUGAAUUUUUAUGUAUUUGAACGAAAUUGAAAGUCAGCAGCAAAGUAUGGGAAACUGGUGCGGGGUGGGGUGGUGCGGUGCAGGUGGCACCGAAGGCAGUGGCGACGACGAGGAGGGCGCCGCGGAGGAGGCGGACUUUGGCAGUGGCGAUGACGCUGUGGUGAAGGGCUUCCGACUGGACGUGUUGGCGGCUAGGCGACCGGAUCUGCGCUCUGAGCUGCUCACCUUCCGGGACCAGCUGCUGGCGGCAGAUGACGAGGAGUCAGCGGAACUUAAGGUGCGGUUGCCGGUGCGGGUGUGUGCAUGUUUCUUGUGCCAGUCGGGGGAGGGGGGAAAUAGUUCUGGGGACUUCGUGCCAAUGAUUUCCCGCCCAUCAACCCGCACACCCACCUACACGCCGCCGGGGGUCUUGCAUAUAGUUCCCCCCUACUUCAUGUACACUCUUUCCGUGGCAGCAGCUUCACGCGUUCGUAGUUCGUCUUUCCCCCCUAACCCGUUGGGCAGUUACAUAGCUGCAUUUCAUUCCGGAAACAGUUAGCGGACAAGGGGGGGGAUAGGGGCGGGGGGUAAAAUGGGUGGGCGGGCAGUUCAUUUUCCUGCUUUCUGUUCCCAACCCCACCCACCUACCUUUGGUGGUAAUGCUGUCCUGUGGUGACCCACACGGACACUCCCGUUCCCUUCCGGCCCGCCUGCGUUCAGGUGUGGGACCUACGCGAUGUGGGUCUGCAGGCCACUCAGCGCAUCCUGGGCUCCUCCGACCCGCUAGCGCUGCUGGCGGAGAUAUCGCAGAACUUCCCAGGCAUUGUGUCCAGCUUGUCACGACAGGUGCGGAAAGGGAGGGGAGGGAAAGCGAGGGGAGGGGACGGGAGGGGUGAGGAAAAGGGGAGUGGAGGGCAGCGGUGGGGAAGAGAGGGGAGGAGAUGCCGUUUUGCCUGCGUGAGUCUGUGAUUCUGCACUUGUUUUAAGACCUGGUAUCAUUUUUUGGGGUGGUUUGGGAAGCUUGGUAUGUCUUGCGUUUUCAUUUACCCGCCCCCUCUGCCUCUGCAUCUCAAAGCGCUGCCUGCCUUUAUUAUCCACACCUGGCCACCCGCACCCCGCUUCUCCCUCUCCGCACUCACCGCGCCGCCACUGCCGCGUACGGUUCCCUAAAAAUAACCUUCUCCGGGGGAGCUCCUUCCCUGCCCCAAAACCUUUGCAUAUAUUCCCCCCACCUCUAAACCCCGUCCUCCUCGUUUUUCCACCGCCGAGCCGCCAGGUGGUGAGCUCCUCCCUUAAGAACGCUGUGACCCACAACCAGCAAAUGGUGUCGGCGGGGGCCAAUUUCCUGCUGUUGAACGGCCUGGCGGUGGAUGUGAACAACUUGGAUUUCUUCGGUGAGUGCUUGAAUGAGUUGGCUGAGGGGGCGUGUGGUGGGUGGGUGCGUGCGGGUGGGUGGGUGGGUGUAUUUUUUUCUUUUUGUCCAUCUUAAGUGCCAAAAUCCCGCACGCACGCGCUCGCGCACGGCAGUCGUUCGUCUUUCCUAUCUAAAAUGUCGUACGCUUGUCGCCAUUCCCAACCCCCGUACUGUUUCUGGUCAUAACCUUUUCCAAGGAGACACACACGCUUAAAGUAUUUCUACAUCCGCCCUCUGCACGAAACUCCCCUACUCCCUUUCAUCGCGCAGUUUCCGAGUCGACCUUGUCCCGAGUCUUUCCGUGGGAAAGGGUGUGUUCUCUUCUUCCCCGUAACCCUCACCCUCCACGCAAAACACACGCACGCCUUCGCCCACGGCCACCCCUACGCCCACAGGUUUUCUGUCCCGUCUUCGUUCGGAGAUGCGGCUCCGUGACUCCCUGGUGGGGGCUCCCCUGGAGCUGUCUCCCAACCUGGCCAAGCAGGUCCUUGCGGCACGAGCGGAGGACGGCGCAGCAGCAGGAGCGGGAGGGGGAGGAGCAGGGGGAGAGGGGGAGCCGCGGCUCAGUCUGGGAUCAACAAGGUAUGUAUGUAGGUAGGUUACAUGUGGGCUGGGUUUUAAAGCGGCGAUGAGGUGGGUUUCAAGGUGUGUAUGUGCCUGUGGAGUGCUAGGAGAGGCUGGUGCCGCGUGCUAGGGGCUGGUGGUGGCUUUGCGUAGUGAUUGGAGUGCGUGCGGGGCUGGGGUGUGGUUUAUUGGGUGAUUUAAAUCCCGUCCAAAAUCUUUUGGGUUUUUAGGGGUUUAGGGUUUUAGGGUCCUCCACUGGCCCUCGGCUGUCCAAGGGAAGUCCAGAUGGGCUGCUUUUUCCCCGGGUUCCAGCCCCUCCUCCGGAGCAUUUCCUCAACUGAUUCCGUCUGCCUCCUCUCUGCCCUCGCUCCCCCCCCUCCUCUGUGCAAUCAAUAGAUGCCUUUGCCCCCUCCUCCUCCCGACCCAAACUCCGCUGUUGCCUUUCUGAGAACCCUACAGUCGCUCUUGGGGGCUUAUGUGCUUGUUUCCGUUCAUCCGGUCCCCCCGCCUUAAUCCUCUUCCCCUAUGUCCUCCCCGUGUAUCUUCCCCCCACCCCCUACCACCCGACCCAGCAGUGCCAUGUCCAAGCACGUCGCCUUUCUGAAUGACUUGGAGCGCGAUCCCAGGUGCCGUACAUGUCGUACGCGACGAGGGAGAGGCUUUAUUGUUAUUGGGGGUUGUGCUCGGGAUGCCUAAUGGUGUAGUGGUAUCUGUGUGGCUGGCGGAGGUGUCACGGUUCGUUGUUGGGGUGGGUAGGGGGAAGGGCUCAAGUCUGGGUUUCUUUCGCCUGCCCCCCUUGGCGUGGCAUAGCUUACCCUGCUCUGUACCAUGGAGACGUCUUUUCUUGGCGCCCGGUUUGUGAAUACACAGCUUCCACCCCGCGCCCCCGCCUCGUCUUCCUCCCAUCGACGUUUCCCCUCACCGCUCCACCCUUCCCCCUCCUGCAUUCCCUUUGGUCCACACAUGAUUCUUCCCCCUCCUCUCUCUCUCAUUUUCCCCUCAGGUUUCAGCGGUUUGGUCGCAACUUGGCUGAGCUGCUCAACACCUUCCCGGGCAGGUGCGGCGCCGUGCGUAUGUUGGGGGAAGGAGGGAGACGUGCCGGCUCAAGAGGACAGAGCCGUGACGUGCCUGUUUAAGAAACGUUCAUCCAAUGGGAAAUGAGACCUUCUCAGGGGCUUUUAAGAUCUCCCCAGGCGCCCCGGAACCCUUCACACGAUCAUAUCCCCGCAUAAGGUCCCUGUAAUUUGUUGGUGCGUAUUGGUGCGUUGGGAUGAGUUCACACAGCCUGUACACGUCUGCUACUCGGGCAAAGCCCGAUGGGAUACCGAAUCCGGCUCGAAUCUGGGAGGGAUGUACGCCUGUCUUUCGCCUACCUGCCCGUAGCCUACCCGACCGUGUGCUUCCCCAUUGCCUUCAGUGACAUGUUGCCACAUUGUUAUGCCUAACUGCUUAGGCUUCGUCCGCUAGCUCGCAACGUGUUCACUUCGGUGGUGGUUGUGGAGCCCCUAUGUUCGGAGUCCCUGGAGCUGGUGGCCAACAUCGACCGAAUGUGGCAGGGGGGUUACCCCAUUAGGUUUGGUGGGUAGGGCCGGAUGGGGGCUGCUGAGAGGAGGGUAUGGUGCCCGGGUGGCGGUGGGUGGGGGUGAGGGUGGGUGGGGGUGAGGGUGGGGUUGCUGGAGGAGACCCGGAUGGCUCCGUUGGGAGCCUAGGCAGAGGGCCAGGGAAGGCUAUUCCGAGGAGUAACCCCAUAUGUACGUGUCGUUGUGAUUGUUGUUGUUGUUGUUGUUGUUGUUGCUGCUGCUGUUAUGAUUAUUGAUAUUGCUACUGCGACUGCCGCUACGUCUACUUUUGGCUUGUUCCGGUGCUUCUGGUGCUGCUGCUCCUGCCGUUCCUGCGCUCUCUCGACUGACUUGCUCGACCCUUGCUGCUGCCCCUGCUACUGCUACAGGUGUUGUGUUUUACUUGCCCUCAGUGGUGAUGCGGGUGGUGCAGCAGCGCAAGUACCCGCACCUCCAGUCCGGGGCACCCUCCUGGGGGGAGAUGGACGCUAGGUGGGGCCUGUUUCGACGUGGGAUUGGGCGGCCGGUGCGCUGGGUCUGCAUACAUGUGUGUGUUGAUUUAAUGUGUGCUCUGCAAUGGAGCAGGCGUGCUGUUUCUUUUACCCGAUCCGCCAUCAGGCAUCGUCUCGUACUUUUUUCAUUUAGUUGCCUUUCGGGGCGUCCUCCCUGGGGCAUGCUCCGGCUCCUUCACCACGAAUCUUGGCCGCCUGGUGCGCUUAAUGUUCCGCCGCCUCAUCCUUACUCGUACCCACACGCACCUCCUAAACCCCUUACCUCCCUAUCACCCCCCUGGACCAACCCCCAGUGAG
rnacentral:lncRNA from 1 species